rnacentral:ncRNA from 1 species
AGCUCAUCCAGAGGGGGCGAGGGAUUCGGCCCAGUGACCCCCCGGCAACCAGCUGACAACUCAGCACCGGUGCCAACUCCGACUCGGUACGAAAGCCGGCCGAGAGAGAUGAAGG